rnacentral:rRNA from 1 species
AUUGAACGCUGGCGGCAGGCCUAACACAUGCAAGUCGGACGGUAGCACAGAGAGCUUGCUCUUGGGUGACGAGUGGCGGACGGGUGAGUAAUGUCUGGGGAUCUGCCCGAUAGAGGGGGAUAACCACUGGAAACGGUGGCUAAUACCGCAUAACGUCGCAAGACCAAAGAGGGGGACCUUCGGGCCUCCCACUAUCGGAUGAACCCAGAUGGGAUUAGCUAGUAGGCGGGGUAAUGGCCCACCUAGGCGACGAUCCCUAGCUGGUCUGAGAGGAUGACCAGCCACACUGGAACUGAGACACGGUCCAGACUCCUACGGGAGGCAGCAGUGGGGAAUAUUGCACAAUGGGCGCAAGCCUGAUGCAGCCAUGCCGCGUGUAUGAAGAAGGCCUUCGGGUUGUAAAGUACUUUCAGCGGGGAGGAAGGCGGUACGGUUAAUAACCGUACCGAUUGACGUUACCCGCAGAAGAAGCACCGGCUAACUCCGUGCCAGCAGCCGCCGUAA